AAUUGUAUCUUUUCAUAUUCCAAUGUUAUUUCAUUUAAUACUAUACAAUAAUAGUCCAUUCAUUUACUAAGUUUUAAAAAUAUGACACCAUUAGUUAUUAUAGCUGUUAUACAAUUGCUAUGUUAAUUUUAUUAAUGUUUCGUACAUAAAUCAAUACAUCCAUUUUAUGAGCAAUAUGGUAUUGACAAUGGGUAUUGAAAUGAAAGAAGCAAACAGGAUCAGCUGCAAUGAAACUGAAAAGAAAACAAAGUGAUAGCAAGAUCAGCAGCUGCUGUUGUGUAGGUGAC